UGUUCUUCGGCUUCAGAAGAACCGGUGACGGUGUGGUAAGAAAGAGCAGCUGGCAUAAGUGAUAUGGACGAACAGAGCGAAUGAUGAUGAGUUCCCGAUGAGGUGAAGACGACAUCUGAUCGGAUGAAAGCGAAUUAAGGCCAACAAAUGAAAAAGACGAGUAACUCUCUGAUUCUAUUAAAGAAUACAAGCCAGCUGGAUUAGCAAAAAUAUCUCGUGUUCCAGGGAGUGGAAGUAGUAAAGAGAACCAUUCAGAAC